rnacentral:rRNA from 1 species
CCUACGGGUGGCAGCAGUGAGGAAUAUUGGUCAAUGGGCGCGAGCCUGAACCAGCCAAGUAGCGUGAAGGAUGAAUGCCCUACGGGUUGUAAACUUCUUUUAUAAAGGAAUAAAGUGAGGCACGGGUGCCUUUUUGUAUGGACUUUAUGAAUAAGGAUCGGCUAACUCCGUGCCAGCAGCCGCGGUAAUACGGAGGAACCGAGCGUUAUCCGGAUUUAGUGGGGUUAAAGGGAGCGUAGAUGGGUUGUUAAGGCAGUUGUGAAAGUUUGCGGCGCAACCGUAAAAUUGCAAUUGAUACUGGCAGCCUUGUGUACAGUUGCGGUCGGCGGAAUUCGUGUUGUAGCUGUUACAUGCU